CCUCCUUAAACGAAGCCGAAUGCUUCGGUCAGAGUCCACACGAAUUACUUGGUUGAUUAAUAAAGAGAGCAGAUGGGUCUAUCAGGCCCGUACCAUUGGGUCUGUAGCUCAGGUGGUUAGAGCGCACCCCUGAUAAGGGUGAGGUCGGUGGUUCAAGUCCACCCAGACCCACCAAAAUUGCUCAACUCCUGGAGUUGGACAAUUUGAGGUAGCUUAAAUGGGGCUAUAGCUCAGCUGGGAGAGCGCCUGCCUUGCACGCAGGAGGUCGGCAGUUCGAUCCUGCCUAGCUCCACCAAUAUUACUGACUAACUUCGGUUAGCAGUGUACAGAAACAAGCAUUUCGUUUUAAUGACAUCGGUUGUUAAGCGAANUUCUUCUUUCUGAUCACUGGGUCAAAUUUGCUCUUUAACAAAUUGGACGANAAAAAACACGAGUACGAUUCUCUCAUUAUCUCCGAAAAGGACGUAUUCCAGUGAUAGCGAUUUCAAGCGUUUUCCCGGGGUUUUCCUUUAAAGGGGUUGUUAUUU
rnacentral:misc_RNA from 1 species